CAGUAGCCGCGGUAAUACGUAGGGUGCAAGCGUUGUCCGGAAUCAUUGGGCGUAAAGCGCGCGUAGGUGGCCAUUUAAGUCCGCUGUGAAAGUCAAAGGCUCAACCUUUGAAAGCCGGUGGAUACUGGAUGGCUAGAGUACGGAAGAGGCGAGUGGAAUUCCUGGUGUAGCGGUGGAAUGCACAGAUAUCAGGAGGAACACCAAUAGCGAAGGCGGCUCGCUGGGACGUUACUGACACUGAGGCGCGAAAGCGUGGGGAGCGAACAGGAUUAGAUACCCGGGUAGUCCCUGUCUCUUAUAC
rnacentral:rRNA from 1 species